AUUGAACGCUGGCGGCAGGCCUAACGCAUGCAAGUCGAGCGGAUGAAGGUAGCUUGCUAUCUGAUUCAGCGGCGGACGGGUGAGUAAUGCCUAGGAAUCUGCAUGGUAGUGGGGGACAACGUUCCGAAAGGAACGCUAAUACCGCAUACGUCCUACGGGAGGCAGUGGGGGCUCUUCGGACCUCACGCUAUCAGAUGAGCCCAGGUACGAUUAGCUAGUUGGUGAGGAAAAGGCUCACCAAGGCGACGAUCGUUAACUGGUCUGAGAGGAUGAUCAGUCACACUGGAACUGAGACACGGUCCAGACUCCUACGGGAGGCAGCAGUGGGGAAUAUUGGACAAUGGGCGAAAGCCUGAUCCAGCCAUGCCGCGUGUGUGAAGAAGGUCUUCGGAUUGUAAAGCACUUUAAGUUGGGAGGAAGGGCAGUAAGUUAAUACCUUGCUGUUUUGACGUUACCAACAGAAUAAGCACCGGCUAACUUCGUGCCAGCAGCCGCGGUAAGAC
rnacentral:rRNA from 1 species